ACCGUCCUUGUCUGGGGGAGCAUUAUGUUCAAUGAUUGUCUAGAGAGAACAUAGCUGCUGACACCCAUUAUUAAAUUAGCGCAUCCAAUCUUGUGAUUCGGGUGCAAUUUUUGGAAGC